UACGGAGGGUGCGAGCGUUAAUCGGAAUCACUGGGCGUAAAGGGCGCGUAGGCGGUUUAGUAAGCCUGGUGUGAAAGCCCAGGGCUCAACCUGGGAAGGGCAUUGGAAACUGUCAGGCUAGAGUUCCGGAGAGGAAGGGGGAAUUCCCGGUGUAGCGGUGAAAUGCGUAGAUAUCGGGAGGAAUACCAGAGGCGAAGGCGCCCCUCUGGACGGAGACUGACGCUGAGGAGCGAAAGCGUGGUUAGCAAACAGG
rnacentral:rRNA from 1 species